AGAGUUUUAAGUUAAUUUAAACUGUAAAUUUUCAAGGUUUAUGAUAAAUAUAAAUAUAUUUAAAUUCUG
rnacentral:tRNA from 1 species